GACGAACGCUGGCGGCGUGCUUAACACAUGCAAGUCGAACGGUGAAGCUCCAGCUUGCUGGAGUGGAUCAGUGGCGAACGGGUGAGUAACACGUGAGCAACCUGCCCCUGACUCUGGAAUAAGCGCUGGAAACGGCGUCUAAUACUGGAUACGAGAAGGGUCCGCAUGGGCACUUUCUGGAAAGUUUUUCGGUUGGGGAUGGGCUCGCGGCCUAUCAGCUUGUUGGUGAGGUAAUGGCUCACCAAGGCGACGACGGGUAGCCGGCCUGAGAGGGCGACCGGCCACACUGGGACUGAGACACGGCCCAGACUCCUACGGGAGGCAGCAGUAGGGAAUAUUGCACAAUGGGCGAAAGCCUGAUGCAGCGACGCCGCGUGAGGGAUGACGGCCUUCGGGUUGUAAACCUCUUUCAGCAGGGAAGAAGCGAAAGUGACGGUACCUGCAGAAGAAGCACCGGCUAACUACGUG
rnacentral:rRNA from 1 species